UCGAGAAUCUUCCGCAAUGCACGAAAGUGUGACGGAGCGACGCCGCGUGAUUGAUGACGCCCUUCGGGGUGUAAAGAUCUUUUAUGAAGGAGGAAAUUUUUGACGUUACUUCAUGAAUAAGGGGCUCCUAAUCUCGUGCCAGCAGGAGCGGUAAUACGAGAGCCUCAAGCGUUAUCCGGAAUUAUUGGGCGUAAAGGGUGCGUAGGUGGUUAUAUUAGUCGUAUGUUAAAGACUUGGGCUUAACCCGAGG
rnacentral:rRNA from 1 species